AAGAAAAAUAUCGAAUCUUGUCAACAUACACUAAACAAUUAGAUCUAAUGCAUUUGUAAGGAAAGAUUUUUAAAGUAAAGCAUAAAUUAUUAUAAAAAGAAUAUCUAUCAGAUGGCUGUCUCAGGGAACCAAUAUCACCAUUGAUGACUGGUAGAGAAAUGGAUCAAUGUUAGAUAGCCUCCAUCUACAGCCGUGCAACAUAUGGGAUCACGCUAUCGCUGUAUCGGACCAAAUAUCAUCGUUAACAACUACCUGUGCCUGUGUUUAGUUUUCCUUUUAUCUAUUUCUAAUUGUGGAUUUUUAAAUAGAUCACUCAAUCUGGAAAUACAGUGUAAGCUUUAAGAGCUUUAGAUCACAUGGAAUGAGUCAAAUUUCAAAGCUUCAAAGAAUCGAUAUGAUGUAUGUCCAUCAACAAAAAUUGUGAGAAGAAUUAGCCAAUUUUAAAACAGAAAUACUUGAAAAGCUGAGCCAUGGAGUUACUCCAAAACGAUCCUAAAAGCAGUAACUUUAGCAGCGACACGUGUUCUUUUCCUCUUGUUUCUGGCAAUAAGACAAGUGUCAUCUAUGAGGGGUAUCUAUAUGGUGGAAUCCCGGAAAAUCUCAUAAUUAAUGCUGUUGUAUG